CAUGCCGUAAACGAUGGGCGCUAGGUGUGGGAUUCCUUCCACGGGUUCCGCGCCGUAGCUAACGCAUUAAGCGCCCCGCCUGGGGAGUACGGCCGCAAGGCUAAAACUCAAAGAAAUUGACGGGGGCCCGCACAAGCGGCGGAGCAUGUGGAUUAAUUCGAUGCAACGCGAAGAACCUUACCUGGGCUUGACAUAUAGAGGAUCGCCACAGAGAUGUGGCUUCCCUUGUGGCUUCUAUACAGGUGG
rnacentral:rRNA from 1 species